rnacentral:lncRNA from 1 species
AUUUGUAAUGUUUUAUUUCUAUCACUACAAAAAGAUGACUCAAAUAUGACAAAAAUAUUAAAAAUGGGUGUGAAUGACAAAAGCCAUGGAAAUUGUACUUUUCUCUGUUUUUACAUUUAUUUAUUUAUUUAUUUAUUUAGAAACAGAGUCUCCCUCUGUCGCUCAGACUGGAGUGCAGUGGUGCGAUCUGGGCUCACUGCAAUCUCUGCCUCCUGGGUUCCAGCGAUUCUCCUGCCUCAGCCUCUGGAGUAGCUGGGAUUACAGGCAUGCACCACCACGCCCGGCUAAUUUUGUAUUUUUAGUAGAGACGGGGUUUCUUCAUGUUGGUCAGGCUGGUCUGGAACUCCUGACCUCAGGUGAUCUGCCCGCCUCGGCCUCCCAAAGUGCUGGGAUUACAGGCAUGAGCCACGGUGCCCGGCUCUUCUUAUACUUAUUAUUUGCUUGCCUUAGACAAGUAACUUCACCUCUCCAAGCCUGCAUUCUAAUGCAAAACGAACACCAAUACCUAUUUUAUGAAUUAUUGUAAUAAUUAAACGAGGUAAUACCAUACCUGAAGUAUCUUUAAUGCAGCAGAUGUCAAAAGUGGUAGCCGCAAUUAUUUUUAUUUUGUAAGGGAGGAUUAAACACAUUUAAAUAGGACAUCACAGGAGCGGAGCUGGAUCCCAGGUCAGCCUGAUUCCUAGGCCGGCGUUCCUUAUUGAUUACAACAUAAGGCAAACAAGUCGUCUUUGGAGAGAGAGGUUGGGGAGAGAAGAAUGUUUAAUUUCUCCAUGCCCUUCAAUGACAUGUAUAACCUUCACUGUUGACCAUUUGGCCAGAUUGUUGAAUUAUGUUUUGCUCUCUGGCAACUUGGGGUGUGGAACGUACAAUAAAAACGCCUUCACACUAAUAACCUCCAGGCCUGUCCCCAGGAUUCUACAGCAUGAGCUUUGUGGGUAAAGAGAGCUCACCAAAUUCAGCCUCCAGCAGCACACACAGCUCAGUAGCAGCGCCCCGCCCAGAUGUUUAUAUUUUCCUCCAUCGGCCCCGCCCCCCGACCAUGAGGGGCUCUAGCCACGCCCCCAAGCUCAAGUUUCUGGGGCCGGACUAGCCCAGCGCGUCUGCCUACCCAUAGGGAUUCCCUCUCCAGCCAAUCCAGUCAGAGCAGCGGAGCUGCCCCGAACAAAGAUGGCGCGGGAAGCGUCUGUGAGGGCAGACUGAUCCGAGCACCCAAACCCUCGGCGGACAGCGGAGCCAGUGGUAGCCGCACGGCCCUAAAACCAUGGAGGAGGGCGGCAGCACUGGCAGUGCUGGCAGUGACAGCAGCACCAGCGGGAGUGGCGGGGCGCAGCAAAGGGAGCUGGAGCGCAUGGCUGAGGUCUUGGUCACCGGGGAACAGCUACGGUAAGGCAAGAGACACAGCGGGUGAGCUCACGAUGGCACUGCCAACGCGUGCCCGCUGCAGUCCUGCGCGCACGCGCUCCCUGGCUCGUGGCUUGCGACUCGCGUGGGGCGCCGGAACGGCUGCGGGCGCGUGGAUGGUCCUCGGUGCGCCCGCGCUUAGCUGCUGCAGCCUCGGUCCCUGAGGACUCGCUCGCCAAGCGGGGCUGCCUGGCAGAAGCCGACGAGCGGGUGGUGCGCGCUGCGCCCUAGCCUGGCUGCUGCAGUCCUGUGCCGGGCAAAGUCCCUGCCACCCACCGCGCUGUCCGUCUUCCCGUGUACCUGGACGCCGCCAGGCCUCCCGGCUGACAGCCUGCGCCUCAUCCGCGAAGAGAGCAAGAGGGGUCGCUGUGGGGUCCCGAGGCGACCCCAGCCCCUCUACUCCUUGAUAAAAGGAGCAAGACCAACGAUAGUCUUCACUAGGUUUUCCUUUUUGCUGACAAGUCUUCCUUCACUCCCCUGAGCCUCGGUGUUUUACAUCUGU